rnacentral:rRNA from 1 species
AUGCCGAUGCCGGCGAUCAUGGACGACCUCCUGCCGGAGUUCUUCAUCCGCCUGCCCACCCCUGAGGACCUCGCCCGCGUCACCGCCACCUGCUCCUCCUUCCGCCAAGCCGCCACCGACCGCGCCUGCACCCGCGAAUUCCGCAGGCUCCACGCCCCUCCGCUCCUCGGCAUCGUCGACGGCGCCGGCUUCCACCCCGCCCUCCCGCCCCACCCCUCCGCGCCCGCCGGGAGCGCCCUCGCAAACGCCCCCGGCAAGGACUUCUCAUUCUCCUUCCUGCCCGCCCCCAACCGCUGGGUCAUGAAGGACGCCAGCGACGGCCGCGUCCUCCUCGACCGGGCUCCCGAGGGCGUCAAGAAGGCGGAGUUUACGGAGGUCGUCGUGUGCGACCCCCUGCACCAGCGAUACCUCCUGCUCCCCCCGGUCCCUCAAGACCAGCUGGUGGCGAACCCGGUGUGUAUGGCAUACGGGCCCUUCCUCGCUCCCCCCAGCGACGAGGAGGCGGAGGAGGCGCCAGACACGUCAUUCCGAGUGAUGUGGACAGCGCGCUGCGAGGCUAACAUGGUCGCCUUCGUCUUCUCGUCCAGCUCCGGGCAAUGGCGGGCGGUCCCGUCCCAGAGCUGGAGCGAUCUGUUCGCCGUCGACAUUGAGCUUUCAUGGGGGCCUUGCUUGGUCGGGCGCCACUACGCCCAUGGCUGCUUCUACUGGGAAACGAGUUGUCGGGGAAUGUGGCUCGUGCUCCACGCCCGGACCAUGGACUUCUCCCUUGUCGACAUUCCAUGCACAGCCGGAGGUGCUGGGCUAGACACAGCCAUCGUGGAGGCAGGGGAAGGCAGGCUUGGGAUGUUCGCGCUUGCAUUUGUAGGUGGCGUAUAUUACCUCCACUACACCAUUAGGGAAGCAGACAACCAGUGGAAGCUGAAGCAGACAGUGGCGCUGCGUUAUGGGUACUGGUAUUGCAUCCUCGGUGCAACGGAUGCCUACUUGCUCCUGUUAAAGCAUGCUGACAACCGGUCAUUGGAGCCGGCAGAUUGCGAAUGCCUCUCACUGGACAUCAAGACGAUGCGCCUUGAAAGGGUGUGCUCGUUGAAGCAAUGGGGCGUAGAUGCACAAAUAUAUACCAACUUCCCACCAUCGUUGCUGUCAGCCCCGACAAUUUGA